rnacentral:lncRNA from 1 species
AAAAAAUCAAUCGUCGGAACCUAAAAUAGAGACAUACGAUUCUCUAUAAGCUACUAAAAAAUUGCAACGACCCGACCCGCUAGUAACAAUAACUCAUUGGGCCCAACCACCGGCCCAAAAUACUUAAGCCCAGUUAUUAUUACUAGCGUGUAGGUCUCAUAUAAAGUGAUCGGAAUCAGUAUCCAUCCGAUGUGGGACUAUUGGGGGCGUUACAAA